AGCGAACGCUGGCGGCGUGCUUAACACAUGCAAGUCGAACGUGAAAUGUAGCAAUACAGAGUAAAGUGGCGUACGGGUGAGUAACACGUGGGUAAUCUACCAAAGAGCCUGGAAUAACCGGCCGAAAGGCUGGCUAAUACCAGAUAGUUCAAAUGAAAUAUAAUGUUUCAAUUGGGAAAGGGAGCGGGCAACCGCCUUCACUUUUUGUAUGAGCCCGCGUCUGAUUAGCUAGUGGUGAGGUAAUGGCUCACCAAGGCUGAGAUCAGUAGCUGGUCUGAGAGGA
rnacentral:rRNA from 1 species